rnacentral:rRNA from 1 species
CCUACGGGGGGCUGCAGUGAGGAAUAUUGGUCAAUGGACGAGAGUCUGAACCAGCCAAGUAGCGUGAAGGAUGACUGCCCUAUGGGUUGUAAACUUCUUUUAUAUGGGAAUAAAACGUUCCACGUGUGGGAUUUUGUAUGUACCAUAUGAAUAAGGAUAGGCUAACUCCGUGCCAGCAGCCGCGGUAAUACGGAGGAUCCGAGCGUUAUCCGGAUUUAUUGGGUUUAAAGGGAGCGUAGGUGGUUUGUUAAGUCAGUUGUGAAAGUUUGCGGCUCAACCGUAAAAUUGCAGUUGAAACUGGCAGUCUUGAGUACAGUAGAGGUGGGCGGAAUUCGUGGUGUAGCGGUGAAAUGCUUAGAUAUCACGAAGAACUCCGAUUGCGAAGGCAGUUCACUGGACUGCAACUGACACUGAGGCUCGAAAGUGUGGGUAUCAAACAGGAUUAGAUACCCUUGUAGUC